GGAUGUGAGGGCGAUCUGGCUGCGACAUCUGUCACCCCAUUGAUCGCCAGGGUUGAUUCGGCUGAUCUGGCUGGCUAGGCGGGUGUCCCCUUCCUCCCUCACCACUCCAUGUGCGUCCCUCCCGAAGCUUGCAUGCUCGGUCGAAGAGGACGACCUUCCCCGAUAGAGGAGGACCGUUCUUCGGUCAAGGGUAUAUGAGUAGCUGCGGUCCCCUGCUAGAACCUCCAAACAAGCUCUCAAGGUCCAUUUGUAGGAGAACGUAGGGUAGUCAAGCUUCCAAGACUCCAGACACAUCCAAAUGAGGCGCUGCACGUGGCAGUCUGCCUUUCUUU
rnacentral:snRNA from 1 species